rfam:Knoellia sp. Soil729 contig_5, whole genome shotgun sequence.
GUCGUCUUUCUUCGCGCGGGAGCUCGACCCGCGACUGCCGUGGUGACCGCGUUCAUCGACGCCCACCACGAGAGGUUCGGGGUCGUGCCGAUCUGCAGGGUGCUCACUGAGCACGGUUGCCCGAUCGCCCCG